UACGAAGGGGGCUAGCGUUGCUCGGAAUUACUGGGCGUAAAGCGUGCGCAGGCGGCUUUGCAAGACAGAUGUGAAAUCCCCGGGCUUAACCUGGGAACUGCAUUUGUGACUGCAUGGCUGGAGUGCGGCAGAGGGGGAUGGAAUUCCGCGUGUAGCAGUGAAAUGCGUAGAUAUCAGGAGGAACACCGAUGGCGAAGGCAGGUCUCUGGGCUGACACUGACGCUCAUGCACGAAAGCGUGGGGAGCAAACAGG
rnacentral:rRNA from 1 species